rnacentral:rRNA from 1 species
UACGUAGGGACCAAGCGUUGUUCGGAUUUACUGGGCGUAAAGGGCGCGUAGGCGGCGUGACAAGUCACUUGUGAAAUCUCCGGGCUUAACUCGGAACGGCCAAGUGAAACUGUCAUGCUAGAGUGCAGAAGGGGCAAUCGGAAUUCUUGGUGUAGCGGUGAAAUGCGUAGAUAUCAAGAGGACCCCCUGAGGUGAAGACGGGUUGCUGGGCUGACACUGCCGCUGAGGCGCGAAAGCCAGGGGAGCAACGGG